rnacentral:rRNA from 1 species
UACGUAGGUGGCGAGCGUUGUCCGGAAUUACUGGGUGUAAAGGGCGUGUAGGCGGGGAUAUAAGUCAGAUGUGAAAUCCUGAGGCUUAACUUCAGAGCUGCAUCUGAAACUAUAUUUCUUGAGUGCUGGAGAGGAAAGCGGAAUUCCCAGUGUAGCGGUGAAAUGCGUAGAUAUUGGGAGGAACACCAGUGGCGAAGGCGGCUUUCUGGACAGUAACUGACGCUGAGGCGCGAAAGCGUGGGGAGCAAACAGGAUUAGAUACCCUGGUAGUCCACGCUGUAAACGAUGGAUACUAGGUGUAGGAGGUAUCGACCCCUUCUGUGCCGGAGUUAACACAAUAAGUAUCCCACCUGGGGAGUACGGCCGCAAGGUUGAA